rnacentral:tRNA from 1 species
GGGUGCGUAGCUCAGUUGGUAGAGCAACGGCCUUUUAAGCCGUAGGUCGAAGGUUCGAGUCCUUCCGCACUCAUCA